AGAGUUUGAUCAUGGCUCAGGACGAACGCUGGCGGCGUGCCUAAUACAUGCAAGUCGAACGAAGCUUUCUUUCACCGAAUGCUUGCAUUCACCGAAAGAAGCUUAGUGGCGAACGGGUGAGUAACACGUAGGCAACCUGCCCAAAAGAGGUUGAUAACACUUGGAAACAGGUGCUAAUACCGCAUAACCAUGAACACCGCAUGAUGUUCAUGUAAAAGACGGCUUUUGCUGUCACUUUUGGAUGGGCUGCGGCGUAUUAACUUGUUGGUGGGGUAACGGCCUACCAAGGUGAUGAUACGUAGCCGAACUGAGAGGUUGAUCGGCCACAUUGGGACUGAGACACGGCCCAAACUCCUACGGGAGGCAGCAGUAGGGAAUCUUCCACAAUGGACGAAAGUCUGAUGGAGCAACGCCGCGUGAAUGAAGAAGGCCAUCGGGUCGUAAAAUUCUGUUGUCAGAGAAGAACGUGCGUGAGAGUAACUGUUCACGUAUUGACGGUAUCUGACCAGAAAGCCACGGCUAACUACGUGCCAGCAGCCGCGGUAAUACGUAGGUGGCGAGCGUUGUCCGGAUUUAUUGGGCGUAAAGGGAAGGCAGGCGGUCUUUUAAGUCUGAUGUGAAGCUUCGGCUUAACCGAAGUAGUGCAUUGGAAACUGGAAGACUUGAGUGCAGAAGAGGAGAGUGGAACUCCAUGUGUAGCGGUG
rnacentral:rRNA from 1 species